UAUUAGCAGAGACCGCCGGAACCUAAGAUAAGUUGAGUGCCUUAAAGAGAUUGACUGAGAUUCACAAGGCUACUCUGUUUACUUCCAGAAUGCCUGGCGUGUCACAACCAUCCUCUUAACAAUUACAUAUCCCAGCACCACAGAUAGAAUCAGCAUCCCCUCCGCUUGCUGGCCAAAACUGCCUCUUUUUCCGGAGCGUCAUGGACGGGACAGGAUGGGGCAAGAAGACCUUCCCAGCGAAGAAAGAGAAAACAGCAGAGAGCUUUUGAAUCUGCAGCUCAUCCUUCCAGCACGGACGCUCUGCAGCCGAGACGUGGGAGCUGGCUGCUUCUGUUCAGGAAUUUGGCCUAGGGGUUCCGGCCCCUGCUGAGCAUGGAAGCUGCAGAAAGGCCCCACUUGCUGGAGAGCAGCAAGAGGACACAAAGCAAGCAGCCCUCUCACUUCCGAAAG